rnacentral:lncRNA from 1 species
ACUCCAGACAUGCAAAUAUGUGUUUUUCCUUCCAUACACUGAGGAUUCAUGACUUCAAAGAAAAUGUGGUAACAGGGAAGGAUUCCUGGCUUUGGGAGCAGAGGACCUGAGAUCAAUCCUGCCCCUAAUGAUAACAACUUGUGUGGCUUUGUGCAAGUCACUUCACCAUUUGUUCUCACAACAGAUUCUUCACCUCUACAAUGAAUGGGUUGGAUUAGGUAGGCUCAGAAUUCCCUAAUGAGUCUCCAUCUAUGAUACUUUGAUCAGUGGGGUGAGUCCAUUCAUCAGUGCUUUAGGUCCUUACUGCAUUUCUUAUUUCACUUUCCUCCUUUCAGCACUGAGCCAGUUCUAACUCAACUUGCUCUCCACUUUCAAAUCCCACAUCCCUUUGUCCCAUGGCACAUGCACUACUUUACUGAAAACUAGCAAGAAAUUAUUCCUACCACUUGCCUUCUCUGUUAUUAUAACCUUGCAAGUUGUAUUAGUAUGAUUUAGUGAGGUUCGGAUUCGCUCCUAUAAAUGACACUCUCCAAUGCACCAGAAAAUAAUAGGAAAUAGAUAAUUUAUUUAGAAGAAGUAAAGCACAGAUAGUUUGAAUUUGCAUAGAAAGCAUAAAUAAUAAGAACAAUCAAUAAUAUAGCACCGAUCAAGAGAGUCGGUAAUGGAAGAGAAUACAUCACCAAUUCAAGGGAACCUCCAAAAUCAAUCAACGGCUGGGAGCCCCGUUGCAGCCAGUACAAACUUGAAUUGUGUAAAGAUUUUCCCGGGCGAAGCGUCCUUCCCGCGGGAAAAUCUUUACACAAUUCAAGUUUGUACGGGCUGUAACGGGGCUCCCAGCCGUUGAUUGAUUUUGGAGGUUCCCUUGAAUUGGUGAUGUAUUCUCUUCCAUUACCGACUCUCUUGAUCGGUGCUAUAUUAUUGAUUGUUCUUAUUAUUUAUGCUUUCUAUGCAAAUUCAAACUAUCUGUGCUUUACUUCUUCUAAAUAAAUUAUCUAUUUCCUAUUAUUUUCUGGUGCA